GGUGACUUCCGGUUUCCGGUCUCGCGAAUUAUUAUUUGGACAAAAGUAACAGAGAAACACUGCGUACUUGAUAUCCGAUGGAUCCCUCUCCUCCCAUCAACCGCUCACCACGGAUUGCAGGAGGUUACAAAGUAACAGUUAAGCAGACCCGCAGCUUUUAUGCCAUGAAUUAUUGACACAGACUUUAACCCUUAUUUUAGUGACUUGUUUAUCACGAACGAAAAAAAGUUAGAAAUUUAUAUUUAUGUUGAACUUGAAAAUGCUAUUAAAUGUUCAUAGAUGAUACAACUAA